rnacentral:rRNA from 1 species
UACGGAAGGCAGCAGUGGGGAAUAUUGCACAAUGGGCGCAAGCCUGAUGCAGCCAUGCCGCGUGUAUGAAAAAGGCCUUCGGGUUGUAAAGUACUUUCAGUCGUGAGGAAGGUGUUAAGGUUAAUAACCUUAGCAAUUGACGUUAGCGACAGAAGAAGCACCGGCUAACUCCGUGCCAGCAGCCGCGGUAAUACGGAGGGUGCGAGCGUUAAUCGGAAUUACUGGGCGUAAAGGGCACGCAGGCGGUUAAUUAAGUUGGAUGUGAAAUCCCCGGGCUUAACCUGGGAAUGGCAUUCAAGACUGGUUAGCUAGAGUCUUGUAGAGGGGGUAGAAUUCCGAUGUGUAGCGGUGAAAUGCGUAGAGAUGUGGAGGAAUACCGGUGGCGAAGGCGGCCCCUGGGACAAAGACUGACGCUCAUGUGCGAAAGCGUGGGGAGCAAAC